rnacentral:rRNA from 1 species
AACGAACGCUGGCGGCAGGCUUAACACAUGCAAGUCGAGCGCCCCGCAAGGGGAGCGGCAGACGGGUGAGUAACGCGUGGGAAUCUACCCAUCCCUACGAAAUAGCUCCGGGAAACUGGAAUUAAUACCGUAAACGCCCUACGGGGGAAAGAUUUAUCGGGGAUGGAUGAGCCCGCGUUGGAUUAGCUAGUUGGUGGGGUAAAGGCCUGCCAAGGAGACGAUCCAUAGCUGGUCUGAGAGGAUGAUCAGCCACAUUGGGACUGAGACACGGCCCAACCUCCUACGGGAGGCAGCAGUGGGGAAUAUUGGACAAUGGGGGCAACCCUGAUCCAGCCAUGCCGCGUGAGUGAUGAAGGCCUUAGGGUUGUAAAGCUCUUUCACCGGGGAAGAUAAUGACGGUACCCGGAGAAGAAGCCCCGGCUAACUUCGUGCCAGCCGCCGCAGAA